CUUCCGGGGACUGCUUAGGCGCGUCGUGGGGAGUGGGGUUUGGGCACGCGGAGUGAUUGCUGGCUUGACUCUGGAGGCUUGUCGCUCCCCGACCUGUCCCUGGGAAAGGUGCGGCGUCACUGCUUAGGAACGCUGACCUCGAGAGCUGGUGUUCUCCAGAGCAGAAGGGUUCCGAGGCCUAGGCACACGUACUUGUCUUCCUUUCUGGUCGAGCUAGACACUUCUUCAGAGCAUAGACUUACCGCAGAGUGGGACUGACUUUGGAACCCAACGCACUCCGAGGAUGUGAUUGGGCAGCUCCGUCAACACUCAGCGAGAACCACUGAACAGACUUGAAUGAACACCUGUUGUCUGCCAGACCUUGCCGUCGCUGCUCAGGGGCCUCUGCCUAUAAUUCUGCUUGUUAAUUGAAAUACACCUAAGCCUGGUAAAUGGAGAGUCCAGGAAAGAAUGAGCGAUCCUGGGAGGACAGAAGUGCAGCGGGGUUGGCGCUCGGGAGGGCAACCUCCGGAUAGGUGGCUUUUCUCAUAGGUGGCAUUUCUCGAGGCGGUGCUAGAGGUAAAGGAAAAAGGAAGGUCGGUGGGGCGGUCCUGGGGAGGAUGGACUCUGCUCAUUGUUUCAGUGUGGAAAGAACUAAUCAGCGAAGUGUGUUUUAGAGCCCAGUUUCUUUCAUCUGCUGCUACAGGAUUGGAGAGUUCAAAAUUCCCCUAAGUAAUGACAGUAAGAGAAUGGUGGUUUUUGCCUCCAAACCCGGCUUAACACAAAAGAGACGGUGAGAUUAGAUGAUGGUAGUAUGGUGGGUUUGUCUUGGCUUCAUCGGACUAGCUGGGUGAUUUGGUACAAGGUGUCUUACUUCCGAUGCCCUUCCUCCUACAGACACUGUGAAGAUUAAAUGGAAGGCCCUUGGAGGAGUGUAUGGCACGUAGCUAAGUACCAGCAACUCAAUAAACUGUUGCUAGUUGUUCAGAACAUAUCACAUCAAGAAUGAAUCCUAAUGUAAACAAUGGACUUUGGGGAUAAUGUUCUGUCCACAUAGGUUCAUCAGUUGAAAAAAAAAUACCCCACGCUGGUACAGGAUGUGGAUAGUGGAGGAUUUGGACUUGUGUUGGGACAAGAGUAUACAGAAACUCUGCACUUUCCAUUCAGUUCUGUUGUGAACCUGAAACUGUUCUAAGAAAUAGUGUUAAUAAAAUGUAAAAAAAAAAAAAAAAA